UAAAGUGAAAAUAAACUACAGCUCCCAGCAGCCCUUGCUGCGGGAGCUGUAGCUUACUUUCACUUUCUUCUAUGCAGUCGCCCGCCCCGGCAGAGCCAGAUAGAGGGGACACAGGGAACAAGCUAACUCCCCAGCCUCCCCCCAGCUGCCUUUCAUCGUCACAGCAGUGCUGAGCUGAAUAAGAAGAUUUAGCCGAAAGGGGGCGGGGCUACACGGCACUGUACACAGUGCCAGUCCAGCAAGCAGCAUGGGAGACAGAAGCUCACUGUGUAGCAGCAGAAGACCCUAAACAGAUAUCGCAAUCAAAAAUUAAGACAGAAAUCCAGGAACAGAGCAUUUUGUCCUUCCUGGAAUAGGUCAUGUUGAGAGCGAGGAAAAGAAACCUUGAUGUGAAUGGUCCAACGUGCAGCGUGAGUACAGGCUGAGCUGAACACAAGACAUAUUCAAGGCCAGACAGCCAGAUGGUCAACCCAAGGACAGAAUGUCUGAACAUCCAGAACAGCAGGGCCCUGACCAUAUGACCAUUAUAGAGGAUGUCUUGUCCACAUGCCAAGAAGGCUGAUAAGCGGGAAGCAAUAAAACAUAUUCAAAGAUG